rnacentral:rRNA from 1 species
GUGCCAGCAGCCGCGGUAAUACAGAGGGGGCAAGCGUUGUUCGGAAUUACUGGGCGUAAAGGGCGCGUAGGCGGCCAACUAAGUCGGACGUGAAAUCCCAAGGCUCAACCUUGGAACUGCGUCCGAUACUGGAUGGCUUGAAUCCGGGAGAGGGAUGUGGAAUUCCAGGUGUAGCGGUGAAAUGCGUAGAUAUCUGGAGGAACACCGGUGGCGAAGGCGGCAUCCUGGACCGGUAUUGACGCUGAGGCGCGAAAGCCAGGGGAGCAAACGGGAUUAGAAACCCCGGUAGUCC